rnacentral:rRNA from 1 species
UGGGACUGAGACACGGCCCAGACUCCUACGGGAGCAGCAGUGGGGAAUAUUGGACAAUGGGGGGAACCCUGAUCCAGCCAUGCCGCGUGUGUGAAGAAGGCCUUAUGGUUGUAAAGCACUUUAAGUGGGGAGGAGGCUCUCUUGGUUAAUACCUAAGAAGAGUGGACGUUACCCACAGAAUAAGCACCGGCUAACUCUGUGCCAGCAGCCGCGGUAAUACAGAGGGGGC